GCUGGGCGUGGUGGUGCAUUUCUGUAAUCCCAGCAGCUUGGGAGGCUGAGGCAGGAGGAUCACAAAUUCAAAACCAGUCUCAGCAACUUAGUGAGGCCCUAAGUAACUAGUGAGACCUUGUCUCAA
rnacentral:sRNA from 1 species